ensembl:lncRNA
GGCAGCUUUAGUUGUAGUCAACUUCGUUGUGAAGUAAUCAGUGUGUAACGCCCGGAGUGUUGUGGAGGAAGAAGUCAGGCGCGGGAAGCAGAGUUCAGGGUAGCGCUACUUUUAAUACACCACAACCGUGAAACGACGCCAACCCAAACCAACGCCCCAAACACGGGGAACUAAACAGUCCAGCAAAAUACACACACACACACAACCAGGUAAAGAACACCCAACCAUUUACCCUAAACUAAACACCGGUGCAACUAAUAAACAGAAAAUGGGGGAAAAGGAUCAGUGGCAGCUAGUAGGCAGGUGACGACGACCGCCGAGCGCCACCCGAACAGGAAGGGGAGCCACCUUCGGUAGGAGUCAUGACACAGUGGUCAUGGAGAGAAGGAUAAACACUGUGAUUCUAUGUUUAGCGGAAAUCUUCUGUGUAUAAAGUGACGUGGCAGGGCACACUCCUUUGCCUUAUAUAACUUAGACCAUCCCAUAUAACCCUCAGGAUUUCAUCCAGCUUCAACCACAAGUUUGCCUUGUGCAUGGUGACCUUAGGCUUCUGUGCGGCUAGUCAACCAUGGAAAUCCAUUUCAUAAAGCUCCCGACAAACAGUUCUUGUGCUGACGUUGCUUCCAGAGGCACUUUGGAACUCGGUAGUGAGUGUUGCAACCCGAGGACAGACUAUUUUUACGCGCUUCACUCGGCAGUUCCGUUCUGUGAGAUUAUGUGGCCUACCACUUCGCUGCUGAGCCGUUGUUGCUCCUAGACCUUUCCACUUCACAAUAACAGAACUUACAUUUGACCGGGGCAGCUCUAGCAGGGCAGAACUUUGACUAAUUGACUUUUUGGAAAGGUGGCAUCCUAUGAUGGUGCCACAUUGAAAGUUACUGAGCUGUUCAGGAAGGACAUUCUACUGCCAAUGUUGUGAAGAAGCCGGAUGUGGAGGUGCUGGGCUGGCAUGGUUACACACGGAGGUGUAAAGUAUUUAAGUAAAAAUAAUUUAAAGUCAUACUUUAGUUGUUGUUGGGGGUUACUAUUACUAUUUAUAUUUUUGACAACUUUCACUUCUCUACUUUUCUGAAGAAAAUUAUGUACUUUUUACUUACAUUUUUCCUGACACCCAAAAGUACUUGUUACAUUUUGAAUGCUUAGCAGGACAGGAAAAGUGUAAUUCACACACUUAUCAAGAGGACAUUCCUGGUCAUCCCUACUUCUUCUGAUCUGGCAGACUCACUAAACACAUGCUUAAUUUGUAAAUUAUAUGUGAGUGUUGGAGUGUCCCCCUGGCUAUCCGUAAAUUUAAAAAACAAGAAAAUAGUGCUGUCUGGUUUUGCUUAAUAUAAGGAAUUUAUAUUUCAGCAAUUACAUUUUACUUUUAAUACUUAACUAUAUUUAAAACCAAAUACUUUUAGACUUUUACUCAAGUAGGAUUUUACUGGGUGACUUUCACUUUUACUUGAGUCAUUUUCUAUUAAGGUAUCUUUACUUUUACUGAAGUAUGACAAAUGGGUACUUUUCCCUGCGGCUGUGAGGCCGGUUGGACGUACUGCCAAAUUCUCUAAAACGACGUUGAAGGUAGCUUAAGGUAGAGAAAUUAACAUUAAAUUCUCCGCCAACAGCUCUGGUGGACAUUCUUGCAGGCAGCAUGCCAAUUGCACACUCCCUCAACUUGAGACAUCUGUGGCAUUGUGUUGUGUGACAAACUGCUCAUUUUAAAGUGGCCUUUUAUUAUCCCCAGCACAAGGUCAUCUUAAGGGCAUUGAGCCAGUAACCGAAAAUUCACUGGUUCGAAUCCCAGAGCCAGCAAGGUGGAAAAUCUGCCAUCUGCCGUUAUGUCCUUGAAUAAGGCAGUUAAGCCCCAACAGCAACUGUUCCCCGGGCACCAAUGACGUGGACAUUAAGGCAGCCCCCCCCCCCCGCACGACCUCCCUGGUUCAGCGAGGUUGGGUUAAAUGCGGAAGACACAUUUCAGUUGAAUGCAUUCAGUUGUGCAACGGACUCUUUCCCUUCCUGAUCUGAGCAGCCCUAAAUACAGCCCAGUAGGUAUACAAAAGGAAACCUGUUCGAUCACCAUGACUGCAAAAUCAUUCUGGCUAUGGAUACGGAGAACAUCAACACAUUAGCAUCAAAACUCCAGAGGACAUACCCAUUGGACUUGGGGCUCUGCUGGGAGUUUACCUCAUAUUUGGAUUUUUUAAAUUCUGCUUUGUCACCAAAAUCAUAAUAAGCACUGAGAACUAAAAUAUUAUGUUGGUAUUAUUAAUAAUACACAUAACAAUAACGGGGGUGUAGCCCAAAAGGUUAUUCAAAAGGUUCUUCGAGGAUCCAUUUUAGGGGUCACCCCACAGUUUCAAUUGGAAUAACCCCUAAAGGAUACUCCAGGAACCUUCUCUUUUUAGAGUGGAUCUGACAUCUGAGCCAGGAAGCCACUGUCUAUGGAAUACAAGCCAGUCCUACUCCUCAGAAAACGACAUUUACUGUAUCUCUGGCUCUCACGCUACAUUUGUUAGUGUGUGCAUCAAAAUGGCAGAGGCCAUGGAUUUGAUCAGUUGUUCGAUCUGUCUGGAGCUACUGAAGGAUCUAGUGACAAUUCCCUGUGGACACAGCUCCUUGUCUGUAUUACCUGCAGACACAGAUGCUAAAGUGAGCAGUCAUCUGCACCCAAUACAGCUAGCCUUCAACAUAUUCUCAUAGACGGAAUAUUCUUACCUCUAAACGACUACCGCCCCGUAGCACUCACAUCCGUCAUCAUGAAGUGCUUUGAGAGACUAGUCAAGGACCAUAUCACCUCCACCCUACCUGACACCCUUGACCCACUCCAAUUUGCUUACCGCCCAAAUAGGUCCACAGACGAUGCAAUCUCAACCACACUGCACACUGCCCUAACCCAUCUGGACAAGAGGAAUACCUAUGUGAGAAUGCUGUUCAUCGACUACAGCUCGGCAUUCAACACCAUAGUACCCUCCAAGCUCGUCAUCAAGCUCGAGACCCUGGGUCUCGACCCC